rnacentral:rRNA from 1 species
AUACGUAGGGUGCGAGCGUUGUCCGGAAUUACUGGGCGUAAAGAGCUCGUAGGUGGUUUGUCGCGUCGUCUGUGAAAUUCCGGGGCUUAACUCCGGGCGUGCAGGCGAUACGGGCAUAACUUGAGUACUGUAGGGGAGACUGGAAUUCCUGGUGUAGCGGUGAAAUGCGCAGAUAUCAGGGGGAACACCGGUGGCGAAGGCGGGUCUCUGGGCAGUAACUGACGCUGAGGAGCGAAGGCAUGGGUAGCGAACAGGAUUAGAUACCCUGGUAGUCCAUGCCGUAAACGGUGGGCGCUAGGUGUAGGGGUCUUCCACGACUUCUGUGCCGUAGCUAACGCAUUAAGCGCCCCGCCUGGGGAGUACGGCCGCAAGGCUAAAACUCAAAUGAAUUGACGGGG